rnacentral:rRNA from 1 species
AGUGAACGCUGGCGGUAGGCCUAACACAUGCAAGUCGAACGGCAGCACAGUAAGAGCUUGCUCUUACGGGUGGCGAGUGGCGGACGGGUGAGGAAUACAUCGGAAUCUACUUUUUCGUGGGGGAUAACGUAGGGAAACUUACGCUAAUACCGCAUACGACCUACGGGUGAAAGCAGGGGAUCUUCGGACCUUGCGCGAUUGAAUGAGCCGAUGUCGGAUUAGCUAGUUGGCGGGGUAAAGGCCCACCAAGGCGACGAUCCGUAGCUGGUCUGAGAGGAUGAUCAGCCCCACUGGAACUGAGACACGGUCCAGACUCCUACGGGAGGCAGAAGUGGGGAAUAUUGGACAAUGGGCGCAAGCCUGAUCCAGCCAUACCGCGUGGGUGAGGAAGGCCUUCGGGUUGUAAAGCCCUUUUGUUGGGAAAGAAAAGCAGCAGGUUAAUACCCCGCUGUUCUGACGGUACCCAAAGAAUAAGCACCGGCUAACUUCGUG